CGCGUAGGCGGUUUGUUAAGUCAGGUGUGAAAGUUUUCAGCUUAACUGGAAAAGUGCACUUGAAACUAACUUACUUGAGUACUGGAGAGGUAAGCGGAAUUCCUAGUGUAGCGGUGAAAUGCGUAGAUAUUAGGAAGAACACCGGUGGCGAAGGCGGCUUACUGGACAGAGACUGACGCUGAGGCGCGAAAGCGUGGGGAGCGAACA
rnacentral:rRNA from 1 species